UACGGGGGGGGCAAGCGUUGUUCGGAAUUACUGGGCGUAAAGGGCUCGUAGGUGGCCAACUAAGUCAGACGUGAAAUCCCUCGGCUUAACCGGGGAACUGCGUCUGAUACUGGAUGGCUUGAGUUCGGGAGAGGGAUGCGGAAUUCCAGGUGUAGCGGUGAAAUGCGUAGAUAUCUGGAGGAACACCGGUGGCGAAAGGCGGCAUCCUGGACCGACACUGACACUGAGGAGCGAAAGCCAGGGAGCAAAGCGGG
rnacentral:rRNA from 1 species